UCAACGGCCCUUUUUAGGGCCACUAACCUGCGAAUACAAAUCGAAA
rfam:Necator americanus N_americanus-1.0_Cont764.3, whole genome shotgun sequence.